UGCAGCUUUAUGGUGAUUCAGGCUGCCUAACAUACAGCUUGUUAAUGCAUAUGUAUUCAUAGGAACAUAACUUUCACCUUAGAACGUGUGUAUAUCACUUCCAAACCAAGUUUUUUCUUCUGCUCACAGUAUCACAAAUCAGUAAAUCCGCAAAUAUGGGCCAAUAUUUCAAAAGGCUUUUAUUAAAACAACCUGGCUGUGCCGUUAUAGUAAUAUAUUAAGAUCCAGGCCCCAUCGAUCCUGUCUUUGUAUUCCGGUUUGUUCUACAGAAUCCAACUCUGCAAAUCAUUAAAUUUUUAUUGUCUACUUAUAUCCAGCUGAAUAAUUUAUCAGGCGGUAGGGCGAGUGAUUCAGAAAGCACUUGAUUGUCUGCAUGCUGGGGGUCUGGGGAGGUAUUGAACCAGGAAAGAUGAUUUAGAAAAUGUAUUGGAUGGAACGGUGGCAGUACGGAGAUGAUUGAGCAGAAAGAUGACAAUGUUAAUGACUGGAGAAUCUUCCUGAUUCAACCUUGCAGCUUUCCAAUGUAAUAAAGCAGACAUUCCUUUUUCAUACUCUCUGCAUUUCUUUGAUGAACAUUCUUUGAUUAAAACAUUAAUAUUGAGAAAUAUUAUUACAAAUUAAAAAUACUCCAGUCUUCUUAGUAACUUGAUUUGGUAUUGUCACAGUGUCUGUUCUGUGUUUUCCUGGGUGUCCACUAGUGGUCUCACUUCCCCAUAGUCACCCCACUGCAGGCACUACAUUUCCCACAAAGCCUUGUCCCUUCAUCACUGUUAACUGCACACCUGUUAAUUGCACCCAGCUGUCUCCACUUUCAUCGUUUUUCAUGGAGUCCUUGUUUUUCUUCACCUGGCUUUCUUGUGGUUUUUCAUGGUUCUUUGUUUUGGACUGCUUUCCUUGUUAUUGACCUCUAGCCUGUUUUUGGAUUUAAAACACUGCAAUUGGAUCUCUCGUUUCCUGUGUGCAUUCAUUACAGAGGAAAACUCAGAAGUUGUUUCAGCUGGACACUUUCAAGAUGAUGGUUGAUACAAAAUGCAGAAGACAUCAAAAUCAUGGGAGAAGGAUGGAGGAUGCAGUGACGUGGGACUCGUAGGCAGCCACCCCUCCUCUACACAGCAGAGCAGGAUGGCCGCCCACUCUACUGCAUCAUGGGUAAUAUAGUCCUUGGCUCCUCCGCCUACCCUCCAGUUCCCAUCUCUACUCUUCUAGGAAGCAGAGCUAAUAUGAUGCAAACGCUUGUUUUGUGGGAAGAUUGCAAACAGAAGAGAUGAAAUAGAUGGACAGGUCUUCACUCAGGCACGGCUCGGUUUCUGAUGGAUCUCCCAGUG
rnacentral:lncRNA from 1 species